CUUCUUAGCCAAGAAAAAAAAAAAAAAAAGAAUUACAGUCCAGUUUUGAUGUUCAAAUUCCGCUUAUAAAGAGAAAUGAAAAGAAAAAAAAACAACAAAACAAAUUUCUGGAACCAACAGAAAAUACAAGUUAGUAAAAACGAAAAUUGAUCGCCUCUCUUCUUUCAGCAGUCUUAAAAUAUAUCCUCAAGAACGAACCCCCCUGUUGAGACUAACCAUGCGGUUAGAAGCAUCCAUUUGAGAUCCCCUCAAUGCCGCUC
rnacentral:misc_RNA from 1 species